rnacentral:rRNA from 1 species
GACGAACGCUGGCGGCAUGCCUAAUACAUGCAAGUCGAACGCUUUUGUUUCACCGGGUGCUUGCACCCACAGAGACAAAAGAGUGGCGGACGGGUGAGUAACACGUGGGUAACCUGCCCAUAAGAGGGGGAUAACAUCCGGAAACGGAUGCUAAUACCGCAUAUUUCCAAUUGUCUCCUGACAGAUGGAAAAAAGGUGGCUUCGGCUACCGCUUAUGGAUGGACCCGCGGCGUAUUAGCUAGUUGGUGAGGUAAUGGCUCACCAAGGCGAUGAUACGUAGCCGACCUGAGAGGGUGAUCGGCCACACUGGGACUGAGACACGGCCCAGACUCCUACGGGAGGCAGCAGUAGGGAAUCUUCCGCAAUGGACGAAAGUCUGACGGAGCAAUGCCGCGUGAGUGAAGAAGGUUUUCGGAUCGUAAAACUCUGUUGUUAGAGAAGAACAAGGAUGAGAGUAACUGCUCAUCCCCUGACGGUAUCUAACCAGAAAGCCACGGCUAACUACGUGCCAGCCGCCGCGGUAAAAC